rnacentral:sRNA from 1 species
UAACACUGCUCAUUACUCCAUCCCAUCCCUGCAGCGGGGAACCACCCUUGACUGUGGGGGUGGGAAGCGGGGGUUGGGUUCUCACUUUCACCAGUUCUUGGGCAAGGGCUUUGCAGCAGAUACUUUGUACCUGUUAGCUACAAAGUGCUCUGCAGAGGAUCUUUCUGCUACGUUUUGGAGGCUCUCCUGCCCGGGAGCUACAUCUGCUACCUCUCCCAAUCAAGGGGCCCAGAGAUGGGAUUCUUAAUCUCUGGGAACCCACCCUAAGGCCUGCCAGUGCUGGUGGCAAUUAUGUCUUUAUCAGCAAGAUAAAGGUUGCUUGGUCACCGCCAGGGAGGGGGCUCUGGAGUGGGGGAGAGGCUCUGCUAGGGAUCAGAGCGGGCAACCUGACCUCUCCGUGAAGGAAAUACCAAUUAAUUAUCUUUUUUACAGGCAAACCAAUUAGACUCCCUAAUCACCUGUGUAGGACACGGAGUCAGGAGGCUGAGAAACUGCAGGAAUAAACAGGACUGAGAGGACAGGCCUCACCGUGAAACAGCUGCCCUGGGCCCGGGACUCGCCAGGAGGAGCGCAAACCGGAGGGCUGUCAAGGCAGGGGCUCCCUGGAGCUACUCUGCUGUCCUGACUCUAACCACCAUGGUCCUCGAAGAGCCUCCUCCAAUCUCCAACUCAGACCACUCCAUGGAGUGAGCCUUCUUCAUGCCACUUAAGCUCCGUCUUUCAUGCUCACAUGGGCCCCAGGUUCCCAAAGCUAAUCUGCAAGGGAUUGUCUGAGCCACAGGGCCCAGAGCCCACCUCAUCCAUUCUGCAGUCAGCAGCCGGCACCCACAGCGUCCACGCGCAAUCACCCGCACCUGCCUCAUGAGUCAAUGGGCCCAAAUUGCGGGGCGCGGCAGACGCCCCACCGAGAACAAGGAACACAAAGGGCUCUGCGCUUCAAGCUGUGGGUGGGAAUUACAAAAGGUUAAGAGACUAAAUAUAAAAAGCCCUUUGAAUAUAAAAUCAAUGUGCUUUGUUGCUAAAAUCUGGGUGCUGUAAUUUAUCCAAAAUAGGACUUGCAAUAUCUGGCAAUAAUCCAUGCCUAGGAAUUGUCGGUUCUGCUCAUCGAAAUGCAAAUAGUCUACUGGAAACUUAAAAACAAUUAAAACAACUGAAAUAUUUCAUACCAACA